GACGAACGCUGGCGGCGUGCUUAACACAUGCAAGUCGAACGGAAAGGCCUGCUUUCCCUUGUGGAUUGCGGGUACUCGAGUGGCGAACGGGUGAGUAACACGUGAGUGAUCUGCCCCCAACUUGGGUAUAAGCCUGGGAAACUGGGUCUAAUUCCCGAUAGGACUGCAGGGUGGUGCCUGUGGUGGAAAACGAUUUUCUAGUGGUUGGGGAUGAGCUCGCGGCCUAUCAGCUUGUUGGUGGGGUAAUGGCCUACCAAGGCGGCGACGGGUAGCCGGCCUGAGAGGGUGGACGGCCACAUUGGGACUGAGAUACGGCCCAGACUCCUACGGGAGGCAGCAGUGGGGAAUAUUGCACAAUGGGCGGAAGCCUGAUGCAGCGACGCCGCGUGGGGGAUGACGGCCUUCGGGUUGUAAACUCCUUUCGACCGCGAGGAAGCCACCUGGUUGGAAGGGUGGUGACGGUAGUGUUAGAAGAAGCACCGGCUAACUACGUG
rnacentral:rRNA from 1 species